CCGACCUCAGAUGAUCCGCCCCCUUCAGCCUCCCAAAGUGCUGGGAUUACAUGGUGAGCCACCGCGCCCAGCCUCUAUGCUUUCUUUCAAAGGGUACAUACAAUGCAUAGGAUUUGGAGAGGUGGGGAAGUGUGGAGAGAGAAGGUGUUUUUAAGAAUUUGGCAUGGAAGGACAAGCACACCUUAAUCCUCUUCCAGGCUCAACCAAAUUCCAUUCUGAAGUGUUUAAAAGCAAAGCUUUGGAAUCAGACACACCAGGACACCAUAUGGAAACUCUUGCACAGUGCUGGGCCCAGAGGACUGCCUCUUCCCAGCUUUGGAAUCAAUUCCCUGGGACUCCUGGGAGACCAGCACCUGAAGGUCAGAUAGCUUAUGAGGAGAUUUGGCCCACAGAGACCAUAAGUGCCCUCAAGCAACAAGAAAGGUGCACCCA
rnacentral:antisense_RNA from 1 species